rnacentral:lncRNA from 1 species
AUGCAGGAGCUACCAGAGAAAGUCGACCCAGCUGAGAGCCCAGAAACUCUUCAGACAAAAGAUGAAGAGGACUCAUCUGAUGAUACAGAUGUCCUACAACCAGAAACACUGGUAAAGGUCAUGAUAAAACUAACCCUGAACCGCAGUGCCAAGCGGUCAGAAUAUCAUCUGCACAGCCUAUGUCUCUGGACGGUGGAUUGUGAGUGUCCCUGUGGAGAAAAAUAGUGAAAAAAAAAUCUUGAGGGAAGUUCAAAGUGCCUUUCCCAAGAGAAGGGUCUGCACACUGUUGUCCGUGCUGAAAGAUCCUACAGCAAGGGUGAGAAGAUUUGUUUGGAUUGAGCAGAGACCCAAAAAGGCUUGAGGGAAAUGGAUUUAAAGGGGACAGUGAGCCAUUCAGAUGCCUGCCGUUAUCAAAGAUGGGAUCCUUCUGAGGAUGCUAACAUCGGGAAGAAUUAG